rnacentral:rRNA from 1 species
AGAAUCAACGCUGGCGGCGUGCCUAACACAUGCAAGUCGAACGAGGAAAGUGGGAGCAAUCCCACGAGUAAAGUGGCGCACGGGUGAGUAACACGUGACUAACCUACCCUUGAGUGGGGGAUAACCUAGGGAAACCUGGGCUAAUACCGCAUAAUACCUACGGGUCAAAGGAGCAAUUCGCUUUAGGAGGGGGUCGCGGCAGAUUAGUUAGUUGGCGGGGUAAUGGCCCACCAAGACAGUGAUCUGUA